GAUGAACGCUGGCGGCGUGCCUAAUACAUGCAAGUCGAGCGAACAGACGAGGAGCUUGCUCCUCUGACGUUAGCGGCGGACGGGUGAGUAACACGUGGAUAACCUACCUAUAAGACUGGGAUAACUUCGGGAAACCGGAGCUAAUACCGGAUAACAUGUUGAACCGCAUGGUUCAACAGUGAAAGACGGUCUUGCUGUCACUAAUAGAUGGAUCCGCGCCGCAUUAGCUAGUUGGUAAGGUAACGGCUUACCAAGGCAACGAUGCGUAGCCGACCUGAGAGGGUGAUCGGCCACACUGGAACUGAGACACGGUCCAGACUCCUACGGGAGGCAGCAGUAGGGAAUCUUCCGCAAUGGGCGAAAGCCUGACGGAGCAACGCCGCGUGAGUGAAGAAGGUCUUCGGAUCGUAAAACUCUGUUAUUAGGGAAGAACAAAUGUGUAAGUAACUAUGCACGUCUUGACGGUACCUAAUCAGAAAGCCACGGCUAACUACGUG
rnacentral:rRNA from 1 species